CGGCAGCAGUAAGCAGACGGUGCAGUAAGCAGACGGUGCAGCAGUAAGCAAACGGUGCGGCAGUAAGCAGACGGUGCGGCAGUAAGCAGACGGUGCGGCAGUAAGCAGACGGUGCGGCAGUAAGCAGACGGUGCGCCCCACACACUAACCUACUGAGGGACAGCAGCCCACGUCCCUAGGGUAAUAAAUAUGUAUGUGGCAGCCAGGCCGAGACGCCAUCCUUGGUGGGCCAGCCAGUGACCCUAGGUGGAUCUAGGAGACACACAUGGAGCCAGCUGACGACAGAGGCUUGGUGAGGCCUGGCACAACUAACCAACACUCACCACUAUUAUCAAAAUAAACAUUACAACUCCGA